rnacentral:rRNA from 1 species
CCUACGGGAGGCAGCAGUAGGGAAUCUUCCACAAUGGGCGAAAGCCUGAUGGAGCAACGCCGCGUGGGUGAAGAAGGUCUUCGGAUCGUAAGACCCUGUUGUUAGAUAGGAAAGUGCGUGAGAGUAACUGUUCACGGUUCGACGGUAUCUAACCAGAAAGCCACGGCUAACUACGUGCCAGCAGCCGCGGUAAUACGUAGGUGGCAAGCGUUAUCCGGAUUUAUUGGGCGUAAAGGGAACGCAGGCGGUCUUUUAAGUCUGAUGUGAAAGCCUUCGGCUUAACCGGAGUAGUGCAUUGGAAACUGGGAGACUUGAGUGCAGAAGAGGAGAGUGGAACUCCAUGUGUAGCGGUGAAAUGCGUAGAUAUAUGGAAGAACACCAGUGGCGAAAGCGGCUCUCUGGUCUGUAACUGACGCUGAGGUUCGAAAGCGUGGGUAGCAAACAGGAUUAGAUACCCCAGUAGUC